GCCCCCGACAAAGUUCUUCGACCGCCCGUUGGCACAGACGAAAGUUGCAACUAUCCUCAAUUUGUCGGUUGCUGCAAACAGGAGCUCUCUCCCAAGAGAGCAAAGCCCGGAGGUUGAACUUACACCAGUUAUUUGUCUCGACUUCUCCCCAAGAAUCAAUUUAUGAACUAGUUAACGCCAAUUUAUUGAUUCGUGUGUGGUUUUUUUUUUUUUUCUUUUUUCAUUUUCUUUUCCUUCUUUUUUUGGCUUUUCGAUUCUCGAUUCUCGCCUGGAGAGCAAGGAUUUUUCGGGGGAGGGGGGAAAUUUUCGUUAGCCCAGUUCGAUAUCUCGGCCCCAG
rnacentral:sRNA from 1 species